GGACUACAGGGGUUUCUAAUCCUGUUUGAUCCCCACGCUGUCGCGCAUGAGCGUCAGAAACGGGCCAGUGAGCCGCCUUCGCCACCGGUGUUCUUCCCAAUAUCUACGAAUUUCACCUCUACACUGGGAAUUCCACUCACCUCUCCCGUACUCAAGCCAAACAGUUUCAAAGGCAAUUCCGGAGUUGAGCUCCGGGCUUUCACCCCUGACUUGGAUGGCCGCCUGCGCGCGCUUUACGCCCAGUAAUUCCGAACAACGCUAGCCCCCUUCGUAUUACCGCGGCGGCUGGCAC
rnacentral:rRNA from 1 species